AUACUCUGGUUUCUCUUCAGAUUGCCUAACUCUUUCACCUAUUACUAAAGAUUUCCACGGAAGAGAACAAUUCUGAAUCACAAACUAAUUUUUUGAGGCCUUGCUUUGGCAAGGCU
ensembl:snRNA U5 U5 spliceosomal RNA